rnacentral:rRNA from 2 species
ACUUAAAUUGAAGAGUUUGAUCAUGGCUCAGAUUGAACGCUGGCGGCAGGCCUAACACAUGCAAGUCGAGCGGUAGCACAGAGAGCUUGCUCUCGGGUGACGAGCGGCGGACGGGUGAGUAAUGUCUGGGAAACUGCCUGAUGGAGGGGGAUAACUACUGGAAACGGUAGCUAAUACCGCAUAA